UUGGCUUUCACUCCGGUUAGACAGUGUGUUUCAGCUGGGUUGCGCGUGAGCGGCCCUUCCAUCGGAACACUAUUUGUUGUUUUGUUGAUUUUGUUUUGCAUUUUAUUUUGGAGUUCGGAAGGAAAUCCUGGGUGGGGGUACGCUUCUCGCGCAGCUGAUCUCAUUUGGAGAACGGUUGUUACGAGGUUCAGCGUUUCAAGUCGCCUCGAGCCCGGCAGUCCUUUGAAGACUAGCUAGGUUAGUUAGUUUCAACAGGCAGGCAUAUCGGAGAUGUAAAAGCCAAUGGAAAUCCUGGGCCCAGGAAGCAGGAAUCCGGAACCAAGUGGAGUGGGAUCAUCGGUGGAAAUUUUGAUGUUUUUUUAGUAUUCCUUAGAGGAAUACU